UGGGGAAUAUUGGACAAUGGGCGAAAGCCUGAUCCAGCCAUGCCGCGUGUGUGAAGAAGGUCUUCGGAUUGUAAAGCACUUUAAGUUGGGAGGAAGGGCAGUAAGCGAAUACCUUGCUGUUUUGACGUUACCGACAGAAUAAGCACCGGCUAACUCUGUGCCAGCAGCCGCGGUAAUACAGAGGGUGCAAGCGUUAAUCGGAAUUACUGGGCGUAAAGCGCGCGUAGGUGGUUCGUUAAGUUGAAUGUGAAAGCCCCGGGCUCAACCUGGGAACUGCAUCCAACACUGGCGAGCUAGAGGAGGGCAGAGGGUGGUGGAAUUUCCUGUGUAGCGGUGAAAUGCGUAGAUAUAGGAAGGAACACCAGUGGCGAAGGCGACCACCUGGGCUCAUACUGACACUGAGGUGCGAAAGCGUGGGGAGCAAACAGG
rnacentral:rRNA from 1 species